GAUGAACGCUGGCGGCGUGCCUAAUACAUGCAAGUCGAGCGAACAGACGAGGAGCUUGCUCCUCUGACGUUAGCGGCGGACGGGUGAGUAACACGUGGAUAACCUACCUAUAAGACUGGGAUAACUUCGGGAAACCGGAGCUAAUACCGGAUAAUAUAUUGAACCGCAUGGUUCAAUAGUGAAAGACGGUUUUGCUGUCACUUAUAGAUGGAUCCGCGCCGCAUUAGCUAGUUGGUAAGGUAACGGCUUACCAAGGCAACGAUGCGUAGCCGACCGGAGAGGGGGGUCGGCCACCCUGGAACUGAGACACGGUCCAGACUCCUACGGGAGGCAGCAGUAGGGAAUCUUCCGCAAUGGGCGAAAGCCUGACGGAGCAACGCCGCGUGAGUGAUGAAGGUGUUCGGAUCGUAAAACUCUGUUAUUAGGGAAGAACAAAUGUGUAAGUAACUAUGCACGUCUUGACGGUACCUAAUCAGAAAGCCACGGCUAACUACGUG
rnacentral:rRNA from 1 species